rnacentral:rRNA from 1 species
AAGGGGCUUCGGCCCUGAGUAGAGUGGCAGACGGGUGAGUAACGCGUGGGUGACCUACCCUCGAGCGGGGGAUAACGUUUCGAAAGGGACGCUAAUACCGCAUGACAUCCUGUCCUUGGACGGAUGGUGAUCAAAGCUGGGGAUCGCAAGACCUGGCACUCGAGGAGGGGCCCGCGUCCGAUUAGCUAGUUGGUGAGGUAACGGCUCACCAAGGCUCCGAUCGGUAGCCGGCCUGAGAGGGCGGACGGCCACACUGGGACUGAGACACGGCCCAGACUCCUACGGGAGGCAGCAGUGGGGAAUUGUUCGCAAUGGGCGCAAGCCUGACGACGCAACGCCGCGUGGAGGAUGAAGAUCUUCGGG